rnacentral:rRNA from 1 species
GACGAACGCUGGCGGCGUGCUUAACACAUGCAAGUCGAACGGAAAGGCCCUGCUUUUGUGGGGUGCUCGAGUGGCGAACGGGUGAGUAACACGUGAGUAACCUGCCCUUGACUUUGGGAUAACUUCAGGAAACUGGGGCUAAUACCGGAUAGGAGCUCCUGCUGCAUGGUGGGGGUUGGAAAGUUUCGGCGGUCGGGGAUGGACUCGCGGCUUAUCAGCUCGUUGGUGGGGUAGUGGCUUACCAAGGCUUUGACGGGUAGCCGGCCUGAGAGGGUGACCGGCCACAUUGGGACUGAGAUACGGCCCAGACUCCUACGGGAGGCAGAGGUGGGGAAUAUUGCACAGUGGGCGGAAGCCUGAUGCAGCAACGCCGCGUGCGGGAUGACGGCCUUCGGGUUAUAAACCGCUUUCGCCUGUGACGAAGCGUGAGUGACGGUAAUGGGUAAAGAAGCACCGGCUAACUACGUG